GUAUUGGGAAGGCAGAUAAAAUGCCAGGUCUGGACUGCCUCUGGGGAUAACCUCACCCUGUGGGAUGUGAAUGAAUAGCAUCUUGCCUGGUAAAUCCACAGGAAUUGAUAAGGCGGGCGCAGUUCUCCCAAACAGGCCUUUUCUCUUUAAGCUCUAGCUGUGGUUUCUGCAGCAAUUUUGUUUUUGCCUUGAAAGAGGUGCUCUGGAUUAUCAGACCUCCAUGUAUGACAAUUUGUACCUGCAUGGAAUUGAAGACUCGGAGGCUGAAGAAUAAUGUGAUGUGUUACCCAAGAUGGUGUGAACAGAGCUUCAAGCCAAUGGAGAAGACUAGGCCUAAAUAGCUGACCUGGUGAAGUGACACAUAAAGCCACACCUGGAGUGCCACCUCCUCAGCAGUCUUUCUCAGUGCCAAUGCAUUUAUGGCUGGUUCAGCGGAUUCCUACACAAGCAGGCCGUCUGACUCCGAUGUCUCUUUGGAAGAGGACCGGGAAGCAAUUCGACAGGAGAGAGAACAGCAAGCAGCUAUCCAGCUUGAGAGAGCAAAGUCCAAACCUGUAGCAUUUGCCGUGAAGACAAAUGUGAGCUACUGCGGCGCCCUGGACGAGGAUGUGCCUGUUCCAAGCACAGCUAUUUCCUUUGAUGCUAAAGACUUUCUACAUAUUAAAGAGAAAUAUAACAAUGAUUGGUGGAUAGGAAGGCUAGUGAAAGAGGGCUGUGAAAUUGGCUUCAUUCCAAGCCCACUCAGAUUGGAGAACAUACGGAUUCAGCAAGAACAAAAAAGAGGACGUUUUCAUGGAGGGAAAUCAAGUGGAAAUUCUUCUUCAAGUCUUGGAGAAAUGGUAUCUGGGACAUUUCGAGCAACUCCCACAUCAACAGGUGAGGGUUGUAGUUAAACUCUUUUUCAUAGACUGUAUUCCUUUUAAAAAUAUUUGAACACACAUGCAAGUAUGUUUGCUAAUUUGGAAACAAUUUGAAGGCUUAAUUUAAAGAUUUCUCUAAUAUUUCAUUUCUCAUUUGUUUUCUAUGGUAAUUUGAUUUCAUUUAAAAUGGUACUAAAAGUUCACGUCAUUAGAAUAUAAUUUUGAAAAAUCUUAUUUACCCCCCAGAGUUAAAAACUGUCCAUUGUGUAAAUUGAUAUUCAAAAAAUUCAUAUUUUACCUAAGAAACGGACAGAGUUUAAGAUGGUGAGGGCCAAUAAAAAAAGGAAAAAAAUGAUGCAGACUCUCAAGAAAAUGCUCUGUUUUCAGUCUCCAUGUGGAACUUCAGGAAGUAUUAGUACAGCCUGAGCUGGGAGGGUUGAAGCAGAGAGUAAGGCAGGGCCCAAAUGAGGGAGGGUGUCAUUUACAUUUGGACAGCAGACAGCCAAGCCCUGAAAUUAAUGGUAAUGAAGAGAUAGUGGUGGCCUAGUAGGGAGUUGUGGUGCAUUUGGAAACUAUGGAGGUAUUCCUGUAGGAAUUUUUCUUCUACCACAUUCCCUGAUUCCUAUAGGCUAAUUUCAUUCUGGCCUACAAUUGCUGUUUCAUUAGGGCAUCCAGUGCCCUAGUUACCAAUUCCAAUUGUAUUACCAAUUUGGAAUGGCAAGUCCAAGGCCCUAUCCUGGCCUACCAAAACUGGAGGCAACUGGAUUGGUUCUGGAAUGGUUCUAAGUGUCUGGGUGGUUGUUCAUGUGAAGCCCUCUGAUCUACGGGACACUGAACCAAACCAGGUUUCUGAGUUGUACCCAACUAGACUGGAGCUGCUUGGAUGUCCACAGAAUUGCUUUAAAUCAGUUAUUGAGUGUAUUUUGCUUCGUUCCCAUUUGUUGGACAUUCAGGACAUUGAACACUUUAGCUAUUACAAACAGGAAAGAACAGCAAUAACUGGUUAUAAAUUUAUCUGAGGAAUAACUGGUUAUAAAUAUAUUUGAAAUUUAAAAGCAAGAUAGUAGGAAAAAUGUGCUAAUAUUCUAGAAAAUGGGCAAAAAUGCCCAAGGGACUGCAGAAUUAUGAGUUAACAAAUAUAAAAAUAACUAGUGAUUGAGGUGAUAGUCAUUUUUGCCCAAGUGGUUAUUCUGUUUCCUUUUAUGAAAUUGCAUUUGUCUACCUUGUUCCCAGCAACACUGUGCUAUGUCCAGCACAGGAACAACCCAUGGUGAAUGGCUGGCCCGGAACUUCCAGUGUUGCUCUCAACUCCUGUACCGAACUCCCACCCAGUGAGAAAUCAGGAUAUAAGAUCAUUUGUACCAGGGAGGAAGCUGUCUGUUUUUCAUACAUCUUCAAAAUUGACAUGUCCAGAAUGAAAUCAUAAGGCAGGUUCUCCAAAGUGGGUGAUAGGAAAGUGGUGAAGAUAAUUACAGGGACAAAUGGGUACAUUCUUCCAUCUUUUAAACUCAUGUACUGUCAUUUGCAGAGAUUACAUAUUUUGAUAUGGCUCUCGUUAUUGUCUUUUAGCAAAACAGAAGCAAAAAGUGGUAAGUUGUGUUUCCUUUUUAAAUCUACUGUUAAGGUUCCUAUACAUACAUGCCCGCAAUGCUCCAUUUCAGUGACCCAAGUGGCUAUAAAAUAAGGGAAGAGCCUCCUCGGUGGGGACUUUGAUAAUCAUUUGUCGUUCAACCUGAGAAUUAUGAAUGUUGUGGCUGUGGAGAGGCAUGCUCAACCUCACCUUGUCAUGCAUGUUGAAUCAUCUUUUUCAGACGGAGCACAUUCCUCCUUAUGAUGUUGUGCCGUCAAUGCGUCCGGUGGUGUUAGUGGGGCCGUCACUGAAAGGUUACGAGGUAACAGACAUGAUGCAGAAAGCCCUCUUUGAUUUCCUGAAGCACAGGUUUGAUGGGAGGAUAUCAAUAACGAGAGUGACAGCUGACAUUUCUCUUGCUAAGAGGUCUGUCCUAAAUAAUCCCAGCAAGAGAGCAAUAAUUGAACGUUCGAACACCCGGUCCAGCUUAGCGGAAGUACAAAGUGAAAUUGAAAGAAUCUUUGAGUUGGCAAGAUCUUUGCAACUGGUUGUUCUUGAUGCAGACACCAUCAAUCACCCAGCACAACUUAUAAAGACUUCCUUAGCACCAAUUAUUGUUCAUGUAAAAGUCUCAUCUCCAAAGGUUUUACAGCGGUUGAUUAAAUCUAGAGGAAAGUCACAAAGUAAACACUUGAAUGUUCAACUGGUGGCAGCUGAUAAACUUGCACAAUGCCCCCCAGAAAUGUUUGAUGUUAUAUUGGAUGAAAAUCAGCUUGAGGACGCGUGUGAACAUCUAGGGGAGUACCUGGAGGCGUACUGGCGUGCCACCCACACAACCAGUAGCACACCCAUGACCCCACUGCUGGGAAGGAAUUUGGGCUCCACAGCACUUUCACCAUAUCCCACAGCAAUUUCUGGGUUACAGAGUCAGCGAAUGAGGCACAGCAACCACUCCACAGAGAACUCUCCAAUUGAAAGACGAAGUCUAAUGACCUCUGAUGAAAAUUAUCACAAUGAAAGGGCUCGGAAGAGUAGGAACCGCUUGUCUUCCAGUUCUCAGCAUAGCCGAGAUCAUUACCCUCUUGUGGAAGAAGAUUACCCUGACUCAUACCAGGACACUUACAAACCCCAUAGGAACCGAGGAUCACCUGGGGGAUAUAGCCAUGACUCCCGACAUAGGCUUUGAGUCUAAUGAAACAAAAAAUAUUCAUCUGUUGACAAUUUGCCAUAGCAGUGCUAGGAUAAACCAAUCAUCUUAACUUGGCUAACAUAGCACAGUAUUUACUGUGCUAAUGGGCUGCUGUCAUUUUAUGC
rnacentral:sRNA from 1 species